GACGAACGCUGGCGGCGUGCUUAACACAUGCAAGUCGAACGGAAAGGCCCUGCUUUUGUGGGGUGCUCGAGGGGCGAACGGGUGAGUAACACGUGAGUAACCUGCCCUUGACUGUGGGAUAACUUCAGGAAACUUGGUCUAAUACCGGAUAGGAGCUCCUGCUGCAUGGUGGGGGUUGGAAAGUUUCGGCGGUUGGGGAUGGACUCGCGCCUUAUGGGCUUGUUGGUGGGGUAGUGGAUUACCAAGGCUUUGACGGGUAGCCGGCCUGAGAGGGUGACCGGCCCCAUCGGGCCUGGGAUGCGGCACAGCCCCCUCCGCGACGCAGGGGUGCGGAAUAUUGCACUAUGCGCGGAAGCAUGAUGUGGCCCAGCAGCGUGCGGGAUGACGGCCUUCGGUUUGGAUACCGCUUUCGCCUGUGACGAAGCGUGAGUGACGGUAAUGGGUAAAGAAGCACCGGCUAACUACGUG
rnacentral:rRNA from 1 species